AGUGAACGCUGGCGGUAGGCCUAACACAUGCAAGUCGAACGGCAGCACAGGAGAGCUUGCUCUCUGGGUGGCGAGUGGCGGACGGGCGAGGAAUACAUCGGAAUCUACUCUGUCGUGGGGGAUAACGUAGGGAAACUUACGCUAAUACCGCAUACGACCUACGGGUGAAAGCAGGGGACCUUCGGGCCUUGCGCGAUUGGAUGAGCCGAUGUCGGAUCAGCUAGUUGGCGGGGUAAAGGCCCACCAAGGCGACGAUCCGUAGCUGGUCUGAGGGGAGGAUAAGCCACACUAGAACUGGGACACGGUCCAGACUCCUACGGGAGGCAGCAGUGGGGAAUAUUGGACAAUGGGCGCAAGCCUGAUCCAGCCAUACCGCGUGGGUGAAGAAGGCCUUCGGGUUGUAAAGCCCUUUUGUUGGGAAAGAAAUCCAGCUGGCUAAUACCCGGUUGGGAUGACGGUACCCAAAGAAUAAGCACCUGCUAACUUCGUGCCAGCCGCCGUAACAC
rnacentral:rRNA from 1 species